CCUAUUUGAAUAUGUAGAAAAAGUGGGGAUGUCUUGUAAUAUAUCGUAGCUUUUCUUGUUUACAGGAUACUCAGAAAAUAUGUCUCCCUUAGAGUCCCACAGAAACGUUCUCAGUGCGAUCUCUAUCAAGUGCUAUGAGUCUUGAUCAAUUGGAGAAGAGCCCAAGAGAAAUUUUUCAUCCCUUGAUAUAAAAGGGAUCGGUGAAUUUUAACUUUGGAGUCCCCUAUGCUAAGGAUGCUCAAC